rnacentral:rRNA from 1 species
UACAGAGGUCUCAAGCGUUGUUCGGAUUCAUUGGGCGUAAAGGGUGCGUCGGCGGCGCGGUAAGUCGGGUGUGAAAUCUUGGAGCUUAACUCCGAAACUGCAUUCGAUACUGCCGUGCUUGAGGACUGGAGAGGAGACUGGAAUUUACGGUGUAGCGGUGAAAUGCGUAGAUAUCGUAAGGAAGACCAGUGGCGAAGGCGGGUCUCUGGACAGUUCCUGACGCUGAGGCACGAAGGCCAGGGGGAGCAAACGGGAUUAGAAACCUACCGUAGU